GGCCAGAGCCCGCUCGCAACAGCCAAACCGGACACAACGGACGCCAGCACUGCUCCCAAAUGUUACAAUACCCCAAGCCUGACCGUUAAAUCAAGAUCCAACGGCCAUCCAAAGCCUCCAUUCUCUUCGCUUCCCUUCGGUCCCAAGCCUCCAUCCCUAUACCCAACCGUCCGAUCACUGGCGGUGCCCAGACCCCCUUCUCUCCGCCACCGAUCUCUCCCCAUGACCUCGCCGGACUCCGCCGCACCCCCCGGUAACCUCACCGAGCUGAACGACGCCUCCGACUUCGACGCCAUCGUCCCCCCCGAUGGCUAUCUGUCCGUCUGCGGCUUCGGUUCUCUCCUCUCCGAGAAGAGCGCGAGGAGUACCUUCCCCGAUCUCAAGAACUUUAGACUCGCAGUGCUGCGUGGAUUCCGGCGCGUCUUUGCCCACGUCGCCCCCAUCUUCUUCGAGCGCGGGAUCGCCAAGGAGGAAACAGGGGAGGUGUCGAGCUUGAGCGUGGAGUCCUGUGAAGGGGAGUUUCUUAUAGUUACCGUGUUCGAGAUCAGAAAGGAGGAGGUUCCGUCCUUUAUUGAGAGGGAGAAUGAGUUUAGGUUCUUGGCUGUGGUUCCUGAAAGUUUGGAUGGGAUUCCUUUUGCCAAUCCAGCUGUGGUGUGUGCACGAUACAGUGAUGAUGAGUAUUUUCACAUAAGAUGCAAAGGUAGCAAGGAGACUUUUUUCCAGCAUUAUGGACGAUACAACAUCCAAAAGAUAUGGCGGGAUGAUAUUUUGCCUUGUCGUGCAUAUCUUAGACACUGCAGCAAGUAGGAAACGCUCACAUCAGUGGAAAGGGCAUGUUUUUGCAGCUCAGGAUGCUUGAUAUGAAUGUUUUGGCAGCAAAAAAUCUUGGGGAAGCAGCUUAUGAUAAUUUCUUAGAUCACACAUUCAUCAGUGACCGUAGAACAACCAUCCGCCAAUACUUUGCCUCAGCUGGAUCGGGCAUCAUGAAAGAAGAACCUCCAGAAUCACUCAAGAGUCGUUAUGGAGGAUGAAGCUGGCAGCUGGAGGCAUUUCAACACAGCUGAGCAUGCACUCUCCUUUUGAAAAAUGCAUGCUGGGUCCUGUAGCUCCAAUUACAGCUUGGCAAUUAUUUACGGUUCAAAAAUUUAGAACUCUAUGUUCUGGGGAUAUUAUUGAUGAAAGGUGGAGGGAAGCACCUGAAGAUUGAAAGCAUAUUAGCAAAUUCGCCGAAAGAAAACAUUGUACUAGCAAACAAUUUAUUGGUAAGCUGGACUUGGAAGGCGAAGAAUAAUAAUUUUGGAUUUUAUAAGAGAUGGAUAUGAAAUGAUCCAAAACAUACUCAAGGUA